rnacentral:rRNA from 1 species
AGUGAACGCUGGCGGCGUGCUUAACACAUGCAAGUCGAACGAGAACGGGUUAUAGCUUGCUAUAAUUGUCAGCUAAGUGGCGCACGGGUGAGUAAUGUAUAGGUAAUAUGCCUCUUACUAAGGGAUAACAAAUGGAAACGUUUGCUAAUACCUUAUACUCCUUAUUAACAGAAGUUAAUAAGGGAAAGAUUUAUUGGUAAGAGAUUAGCCUGUAUUGUAUCAGUUAGUUGGUGGGGUAAUGGCUUACCAAGACUAUGACACAUAACUGGUUUGAGAGGAUGAUCAGUCACACUGGAACUGAGACACGGUCCAGGCUCCUGCGGGAGGCAGCAGUGGGGAAUAUUGCACAAUGGACGAAAGUCUGAUGCAGAAACGCCGCGUGGAGGAUGACACAUUUCGGUGCGUAAACUCCUUUUAUAUGAGAAGAUAAUGACGGUAUUAUAUGAAUAAGCACCGGCUAACUCCGUGCCAGCCGCCGCGGUAA